rnacentral:lncRNA from 1 species
AAAAAAUGUUGUUGAUGUUGAAGAGGAUUCCAAGUUAGUUCUACGCAAGAAAAAGUUUCCUGGCUUAUGUAUACCUGAUGAACCAGUCAAAAAAUGGGAGUUAGAAGAUGAAAAGGUUGCAGCAUCAGCUUUAGAUGAGUUAGAAGCAUUGUUUCUUAAAGUAUCUUCUCCAAAGAAUGAGUAAG